rfam:Citrus sinensis cultivar Ridge Pineapple sweet orange scaffold00144_contig_12, whole genome shotgun sequence.
AGCCGUGCGGUGAGCACAGAGCGAACUAUUCUUUCGCCUUUUACUAAAGAAUACCGUGUGCUCGCCGCUUCACGCGGCAUACGCAAAUUUUUGGAGGUGCAUUUCUUUGGAAAUGCU